rnacentral:rRNA from 1 species
UACGGGGGGAGCAAGCGUUGUUCGGAUUUACUGGGCGUAAAGGGCGCGUAGGCGGUCGUGACAAGUCACUUGUGAAAUCUCCGGGCUUAACUCGGAACGGUCAAGUGAUACUGUCGGACUAGAGUACAGAAGGGGCAACUGGAAUUCCUGGUGUAGCGGUGAAAUGCGCAGAUAUCAGGAGGAACACCAAUUGCGAAGGCAGCUCGCUGGGACGUUACUGACGCUGAGACGCGAAAGCGUGGGGAGCAAACAGG